rnacentral:tRNA from 4 species
GGGGCCGUAGCUUAGCUAGGUGGAGCGCCCGUGGAGACCGGGAGGUCCCGGGUUCAAAUCCCGGCGGCCCCA